GAUGAACGCUGGCGGCGUGCCUAAUACAUGCAAGUCGAGCGAACAGACGAGGAGCUUGCUCCUCUGACGUUAGCGGCGGACGGGUGAGUAACACGUGGAUAACCUACCUAUAAGACUGGGAUAACUUCGGGAAACCGGAGCUAAUACCGGAUAAUAUAUUGAACCUCAUGGUUCAAUAGUGAAAGACGGUUUUGCUGUCACUUAUAGAUGGAUCCGCGCCGCAUUAGCUAGUUGGUAAGGUAACGGCUUACCAAGGCAACGAUGCGUAGCCGACCUGAGAGGGUGAUCGGCCACACUGGAACUGAGACACGGUCCAGACUCCUACGGGAGGCAGCAGUAGGGAAUCUUCCGCAAUGGGCGAAAGCCUGACGGAGCAACGCCGCGUGAGUGAUGAAGGUCUUCGGAUCGUAAAACUCUGUUAUUAGGGAAGAACAAAUGUGUAAGUAACUAUGCACGUCUUGACGGUACCUAAUCAGAAAGCCACGGCUAACUACGU
rnacentral:rRNA from 1 species